GAUAAACGCUGACAGAAUGCUUAACACAUGCAAGUCGAUGAUGGGAGCUAGCUUGCUAGAAGAAGUCAUGGCGGACGGGUGAGUAACGUGUAAAGAACUUAUCAUAUAGACUGGGAUAACAGAGGGAAACUUCUGAUAAUACUGGAUAAGUUAGUAGUAGCAUUACUAAGUAAUGAAAGGUAGCAAUACGCUAUAUGAGAGCUUUGCAUCCUAUUAGCUAGUUGGUGGGGUAAAAGCCUACCAAGGCGAUGAUAGGUAGCCGGCCUGAGAGGGUGGACAGCCACAAGGGGACUGAGAUACGGCCCUUACUCCUACGGGAGGCAGCAGUGGGGAAUAUUGGACAAUGGAGGCAACUCUGAUCCAGCAAUUCUGUGUGUGUGAAGAAGGUUUUAGGACUGUAAAACACUUUUAGUAGGGAAGAAAGAAAUGACGGUACCUACAGAAGAAGCGACGGCUAAAUACGUG
rnacentral:rRNA from 1 species